rnacentral:rRNA from 1 species
UCCGCUCGGGCCGACGAGUGGCGCACGGGUGCGUAACGCGUAUACAAUCUACCUUUUACAGGGGUAUAGCCUUUAGAAAUGAAGAAUAAUCCCCCAUAGCUUUUGACCAUCGCAUGAUGCGUCAGAAUAAAGAUUCAUCGGUAAAAGAUGAGUAUGCGUUCUAUUAGCUAUUAAGAGAGGUAACGGCUCCCUUAGGCAACGAUAGAUAGGGGCCCUGAGAGGGGGAUCCCCCACACUGGUACUGAGACACGGACCAGACUCCUACGGGAGGCAGCAGUGAGGAAUAUUGGACAAUGGGCGCGAGCCUGAUCCAGCCAUGCCGCGUGCAGGAAGACUGCCCUAUGGGUUGUAAACUGCUUUUAUAUAGGAAGAACCCCCCGUUCGUGAGCGGGGCUGACGGUACUAUAAGAAUAAGCAUCGGCUAACUCCGUGCCAGCAGCCGCGGUAAUACGGAGGAUGCGAGCGUUAUCCGGAAUCAUUGGGUUUAAAGGGUCCGUAGGUUGCUUAAUAAGUCAGAGGUGAAAGCCUACAGCUCAACUGUAGAACUGCCUUUGAUACUGUUAAACUUGAAUUAGUGUGAAGUAGUUAGAAUAUGUAGUGUAGCGGUGAAAUGCAUAGAUAUUACAUAGAAUACCAAUUGCGAAGGCAGAUUACUAACACUAUAUUGACACUGAUGGACGAAAGCGUGGGUAGCGAACGGGAUUAGAUACCCCGGUAGUCCACGCCGUAAACGAUGGAUACUAGCUGUUCGUUCCACACCUUUGGGAUGAGUGGCUAAGCGAAAGUGAUAAGUAUCCCACCUGGGGAGUACGUCGGCAACGAUGAAACUCAAAGGAAUUGACGGGGGCCCGCA